AAAAUCCUAUAUCUCGGGACCAAAAACAAAAGUCAGGCAGGCCACUGGUUACCUCUGGAACAAGGAGUCAUCAAGCUAACUCUUGAUGGAUGCUCCCUUGGCAACAUUGAGCAAGCGGGUUUUGGGGCUAUUUUCCCAAAUAGUCAAGCCAGGGUUUUACUUUCUUAUUUGGGUGCUAUUUGGAGUGGUCGACUCUUCCACUGCUGGAGGGCCUGAGACAGUGUAUGACAACAGAUGGGAUUCCACCGUUGUAGUGUAAGGGGAUUGCUAAAACGUUGUUACAGGGGCAUCCCAUCUGGAUCAGAUACCAUGGUAACUGAUUCUAUUCUUUGAACAAGUCGAUAAAUUGAGAGUGGAUUGCAGAUAACUUUCUAGCAUACAUGGAGGGAAGCAAAUAGAAAGC
rnacentral:lncRNA from 1 species